rnacentral:misc_RNA from 1 species
CGCAAAAUCACACGCAUCCCCUCACCCACGGCGGUGUCUUGUCGGGUGUGUUAUCUCGAGCUUGAGGGUUUGGGGCGGGUAUAGUCAGGUGCGCUCAAAACCUUCGACGACAUGUGCAAGGCUGCUUCUUUGUCGGUUACGGAGUCAUUUAGGGCAUUACACGCGGCGUCUGGCGUCUUUUUGUUAUCCUGGUCUGCGCGGGUGCGAGUCCAGACAUACACACGCAUACACACACACACACACAAAAUUAUCCUUCCAUGAAUCGUGACCCGCAGAAUGCGCUGCUGCUGGAGCAAACGGCGCAGAAGGUAAAGCGCCUACUUCUCCAGCGCAGCCCGUCCGCGGUGAACGGCAUUCGAAGCUUUAGCCGGUCUCUCGGGAUCGCCGACGACCUCGGCAGCACGCAGGUGACCGCAGAGGAGCUGCAGCGUGCGCUUCAAGAGAACAAUGUUUCGCUAGAGGAGCACGAGAUUCAAAACAUCUUUACCGUGCUGGAUCGCAAUGGUAAAGGCACGAUUGAUCCCACAGACUUCAUUGCUGUCAUGUGCAACAACCUCAGUCCGCUGCGCAGAGUGUGGCUGCAGCGUGUGUGGCGAAUGUUUAUCAAGGACCCGGACGAUGGUUCGGUGCAGGUGUGCGAGCUGCAGCGGCAGUUCAUAGCGGAGGGUCACCCAGCGGUCGUGCGCCACGAGACGACGGCAGCGGAGGUGCGCAAGGACUUUGAAUCGGCUUUCAACGAAAGCACCAAUCCAGAUGGAAAGAUAAGCGCUCAGGAGUUUGCGGAGUACUACGCUGGUGUCUCAGCCUCCUGCAGGAACGAUGAAUCCUUCGUGGCCCUACUCCGUGGUGUGUGGCCGCUGCCCGGCGUUUCGCGCGACUUCUCCAUCUCCCUUGCGAAGGGCGAGGCACAGUACCAAGGUUCCUACCACACAGAGCAGAGUUUAGCAGAAAAAAAGGCCGUCGCCAGCCGCGAGGCGGCGCGAUCGGCGUUGAUGAGCAUGAUUCGUUGUGAUCACGCACCGGCCGUCCUUAGUAGUGGCGCGGCAGCACGAGCAUUGUGCCUCUCUCUAGCGCAAGCAGACGAGGCGGGGUCGGGUUUCGUGAGUGAGGCUGUGUUUGUGGGUGCUCUGCGGACGCACCGUCUCUACGUGCCGAACACAUCCGUUUUGGAAUGCCUAGACACCAACGGGGAUGGCUCUGUCGACAUCAAGUACUACGAGGAACUGCUGCUGCCUUCGCUGUCUGCCGCACGUCUCAUGCUACUGGCACGGCUGUGGUCGCGCUGCUUCGAGAACAAAGACGGGGCCUACCGCGUGCCAGUGCAAGAUCUGCACCGCAAAUACCACGCCUCGAGCCCGGCAGACAAAGACGCCUUCCUUACCGCCUGGGAUGUUCGAACGGCCGUGGGUGGCAAGGUUGAGCUGGAGGAGCUUGUUCAGUGGUACGUGCCGCAGAGUGCGGCGGUGCAGCGCGACAAAGAUUUUGAGGAGCUCCUGCACCGGCAGUGGGGAAAGUACGACGAGUAGGAGACGUGCGCGCUGUGUGCAAGGUGGGUCGCAUGUGGCAUUUGUAGGCGCGUUUUGCUUCGCGCCGUCGUUGCUGCAGUUGUUGUUGCCUCGUAUGUAAAGCACGAAGUGGCCGCACUCCGCUUGCAACCGACUCUACUCUUCCUCGUGCUUACACCAUCGCUGCUUUCUGCGCGCCAUGCCGUGCGCAGUUGUGGAUGCGUUCUUUUAUCCUUUUUUUUUGUUUCGUCUGUGAUUGAUCUCAUGUACAGUUUCCGUCAUAGGUCGCGCGCGGCGAUGAGGGAGGGGGAAAAGUGCCAAAGGAGGAGAGACAAGGUGCGUUUGCUGCGCAUGACGGACACGCCAGUGGCCCUUCCUCUGUGCCUCGUGCUUGUGCUCUUCUCCAUCCUGUGCGUGAGUGAAUUUAUCCUUCCUUAGAGAGCAUAUGCCCCAUCUCAGCUGGUU